rnacentral:tRNA from 1 species
GGGAGCGCAUGCAUGCCUGGUGGCGGCCGCGGACUUCAAAUCCGUUGUGUCCUGACGUUCGUCAGGGCAGGUGGGUUCGAUUCCCACACGCUCCCG